UACGGGGGGGGCAAGCGUUGUUCGGAAUUAUUGGGCGUAAAGGGCUCGUAGGUGGCCAACUAAGUCGGACGUGAAAUCCCUCGGCUUAACCGGGGAACUGCGUCCGAUACUGGUUGGCUUGAGUUUGGGAGAGGGAUGCGGAAUUCCAGGUGUAGCGGUGAAAUGCGUAGAUAUCUGGAGGAACACCGGUGGCGAAGGCGGCAUCCUGGACCAACACUGACGCUGAGGAGCGAAAGCCAGGGGAGCAAACGGG
rnacentral:rRNA from 1 species